UUAAGUUGUUUUAGCCAUCGCGAAUCGCAUUUAUUUGCUAAACAGAAAUUUAAAACCCUCAAACAUCUCGAGCUCAAAUUUCCAUUGAUGGAAUGGAAACUAUACAGCAGUACCACUACCGGUGAAAGCUUCAUUUAGGACAAGGCAGUUACCCAUAAAGAGCAGAACACCACCCUUUGUUGUUUUCAUGUACCAGAACUACCAAACAGUUUUCGAAAACGAGAAUAAAUCGGUCGAAGAAUGAUUGACCGCCACAGUAAUCAACAACCAGUGUUCAUAAGAGUGAAUGCAUCAAAACCAGCUUACAGAGGUCCAGAAUUGCAUCUAAGCUUUCAUGGCCAGAAUAUGGCCGAUCGCGACACCGCGACACGAGCCGUCGCAAAUCUAUGCUGGCGUUCGGGCCCAAAGAGAACUGUUUCAAAGAUGUCAAAUACGGAGAAACUGGAUACCUCUCGGACUUGAAAGAUAAGUUGUUUUUUCUGACCUUGUCGGGGCAUGGCGCUAUGUUCACCGAUACCUGCAAGGCGUCCCCGAGAAGCCUUGAGGAAGCUGCUACGUAUUGUAAAAAGGUUAAUAUUUAAAUAAAUGAAAUGAAAAGUAAAAAAACAUAUGAAAUUUAAUGGAGUAGAUAGAAAAGAAAGGGUGAAGUAUGGGUUCCGUCUUUUUGAGUAAAUGAAGGAGUAAAUACAAGAUAAUUUUUCAUUUAAAAAUAUCGCACUCUAUUUUAUGAACGGUGUGAUCAUUUUGAUUUGACAGUUCUACAAUUUUGUUUUAAAUGUUUGAACUUUUAAUUUCAGAGCCACGUAAAAGAUUUGAACCGUGGCUCUUGCAAA